rnacentral:misc_RNA from 1 species
AACUAACGCAAAUCAAAGUAACAGUUUCUGUACUUUAUU